UCUCUGUGAUGUUUUCAAUGGAUCCUUCUGAGCCCGUUGCUGUGUCUCAUCAGCAGGAAGGGGCCUGAAGAGACUGUGUGACUGAGAGA